GUUGUGUGAAAUGGCAAAAGUCUUCUGCAUUCUCUAAGUAAAAAAAGAUAAGUAUUAAAAACCUGGAUCCUUUAUAAAAUAUCAGUGAAGGUUUCAAUUUCAUCACUUUUUACGUGACAAUAAUAAGAGAGAUUAUUUUUAAUAGACAUGUAAUUCAUAGUUAUUAUCCUAUUUAUGUCUCGAAUAAUCUACGAUCUUUUGCAUAUAUUUAGAUCCAAUCGAUCGAUCUUCGACAAACCUUCAAUUAUCCCUCGUUACAACAAAGAAAUAAACAAAUCCAACAUGAAAAUGAUCUAAAUUAACUCAAGUGCCAAUAAAAUCAACCAACUAAUUACCAGCGAAGAAGAAAGAAAAUAAUCGAGCAGCCAUCUGAUUUAAUUUUAUUAAAAUUCUUCGAACGCGCAACAUGACGCAAAUCGGGAAAAUGUGUAUACGUAGGUGUAUGAAUACCCUUCAUGAACACAUGUUAUAUAUUAUUCUGAACGAGGAAGAAACAAUAGAAACGAGUUUGGUAUAGAAAACAGAUAAAAGUUUUGUAGAUCCAGCCUUGUUUCCAGAAAUGGAAAGGUGUUACAGACGUUUGACAUGGAUCUCUUCUUAUUGAAGAUUUUUAAUUACAAUCAAUCAUCACUUAAAAAAUAAAUUGUAAUAUAAUUCCAUAGUAAAAAGGGUCAAGUAAAGGCGAAGAAAUUAACAGGCUUGAGAAAUUUUUAUCACAUUAAUUGAAACAAAUUGUUGAAUGAAACAUGGUAGUCCCAUAUGAAUCAUGGGACAUCCCAAAUGUGAAAAGUUUCGUUUAAUUGAAGGUUGCUUCAAUUGGUGUUAGCUGAACUCGAAGUUCUAGCCUCUUAAAUACAAAUUAAACAUUCAUCACACGUUUUCCUCAACAAUAUGCAUUGUGACAACCAAAGCAAAUACCAUUGCUAUUACGAAUAGUCAAAUCUUAUCGUUUUAACAUUAACUUUCAAGAAUGUAUGGUAUCAACAUUUCGAUAUACUAUUAUCAAGUAAUAUAUCAGAUUAUUAAAUAAUGUACAAAUCUUUUAUCAAAUUUGUUAAAUCAAAUUUGUUAAAAGAUUACUUUUUCUUGAUUUAACGUUUUAGAUAAAUUUUUUCCUUUUUCCUAGUUAUCCUAAUACUUUUAUAAAUUUUUCUAUUCAAAAUAUUGGAAUACAUAAAAUAUUUUACGAUAUUUCUCAACAUUUCUAAACAUCAAAGAAUUGUUCAUGCGUAUCUUUUUAUAAACUGUCGAUAAAGUAUAUCUUGUCCAUAAUUUAAAAUGUAAAUCGAAAAAUUUUAGGGAUCAGAGCCAUCUCGCGUUUGGAUACUCGAAGCUUCGACUCGUUACUAGCAAAGCAGGAUAUGCAAGGAGGUAUUCGUGACGUCAUAUAUAUAGAUAAGGAGAGCAACAUUGUGCGAGAAGGAUAGAAAAGAUGUGCCACUAACUUUGGUUAUGUAGCUCCUAAUACUAUCCACCAUUUUCGAAAACAUAAUAUUGAAAAUUAAUUAAUUACUCGUUUUCCACUAAAAAUUUCCACACUUUUAAGCUUGCAUCUUGAAAUUAGAACUUCAUAUAAGUUUCUCAUGUUAAUUUUAACACGAAAUUUUUAAUAAAUUAUUUAUUUUA